AAUGGGCGCAAGCCUGAUCCAGCCAUGCCGCGUGCGGGAAGAAGGCAUUCGGGUUGUAAAGCACUUUUGUCAGGGAAGAAACGGUCUGGAAUAAUACUCUGGGCUAAUGACGGUACCUGAAGAAUAAGCACCGGAUAAAUACGUUCCAGCAGCCGCGGUAAUGCGUAGGGUGCAAGCGUUAAUCUGAAUUACUGGGAGUAAAGCGUGCGCAGGCGGUUAUCCAAGACAGAUGUGAAAUCCCCGGGCUCAACUUGGGAAGUGCAUUUGGGCAUGCAUGAAUAGAGUGCGGCAGAGGGGGAUGGAAUUACGCGUGUAGCAGAGAAAUGCGUAGAUAUUCGGAGGAACCAAGAUGGCGAAGGCAAUCCCCUGGGCUUGUACCGCCGGUCACGCGGGAAAGUGUGGGGAGCAAACAGGAUUAGAUACUCUGCUAGUCCACGUCCUAA
rnacentral:rRNA from 1 species